AAGCCCCCGAUGUUGAGGAUGCCCCUGACACCGACGCAGCCGCCCCGGGAGCACCUCCCGCAUAGUUUCCUUCCUUCUCUUUUUUUAUUUUCUUGCAUGUGGCGCGUGGCGCCUUAGAACUUUUUUUUAUGUUAGCUUUCCCUUGUCAUUAUCAGUGUUACUCAUUAACUCGUUUUGCUCAAGCUUCAAUAUAUAUCCGAUGCUAUUUUUACUUGCUUCUUUGCCUAAGACUAGCUUGCCGGGGAGGGGCUCUGUCCUUCUCGUGUUUUAACCUUGCGUACCCGGGGACUUGCCAACUACGUGCUUGGCCAGACUAGGGACCUGGGACGGAACCGCGGUGCCGACCUAGGACCAAACA
rnacentral:lncRNA from 1 species